rnacentral:snRNA from 1 species
AUGCUUGCUUUGGCAGCACAUAUACUAAAAUUAGAAUCAUACAGAGAAGAUUAGCCUGGAUCCUGUGCAAUGGUUCUUGAAGUGUUCCAUAUUAAA